rnacentral:lncRNA from 1 species
UAUGGGAUGAGUAGUUAAGGCCUUCUAAUGAUCAUGGUGUGUGACCGUUAUACGCUUUCUACGCUGGUGGUUUCUGAUAUGUCGACUUUAUAUCGGUAAUCUGAAUGUACCGACUGUAUGUUGGCAAUCGUAGAAAUCCGAAUGACUAUCGAUCGAUGACUCUGUUAUACCGAUUAGCCAUCGGUUAUGAAGUCGGUCG